CAAAAACAUUUCUUCCUAGUUUAGGAAGUAAGGCCUGCUCACUGAAAAUUUAAAGAGCCGCAGUAUUCUAACUGUGCUAAGGUAGCAUAAUCAUUAGUCUUUUAAUUGGGGACUGGUAUGAAGGGUUUAACGAGAGAUUUACUUUUUUUGUUAUAUAAGUUGAAUUUAAUUUUUUAGUGAAAAAGCUAAAAUUUUUCAGAAAGACGAGAAGACCCUAUAGAGUUUUAUGUUAAAUUAUAUUUUUUAUUAUUAGAUUUUAAAAAAUUAAUAUGGUAAAUCAUUUUGUUGGGGCGACAUAAAAAUAUAAAAAACUUUUAUUUUUAAAAAUUUUUUUAAAAAUAUGUUCUGAUCCUUUAAAAAAGAUCAUAAGAAAAAAUUACCUUAGGGAUAACAGCGUAAUCUUUUUUGAGAGUUCUAAUCGACAAAAAGGUUUGCGACCUCGAUGUUGGACUAAAAUUUAGGCAAGGUGCAGCUGCUUUGUUUUAAGGUCUGUUCGACCUAUAAUA
rnacentral:rRNA from 1 species